GACAAAUGGGGUGAAAGGCGCACAGGAUGUAAACACGGCCGUGAGCCAGGCAAGAAAGAAGCAGAAGGAAUGCCAAGACGGACGGCGUCAACGUGAGGCCAAGGCCACCUCACUCACUCCCGCCAUGCACAAAUGUCAAAAGGAGGGCUCUCAUGAGAAAAGAAUACUUGAUGAUAGUUUGGUGCUUGACGUACAACUUUAGCCGUUGCCCCACAAAUGAACUGCGAGGUACAAUUUCACGAAAUUCGGACCACACACACAAAUCAAGAAAUUGUGUUAGGAAUUCAAAUGCAGACGUAGUAUUGUAAAUAAGGGCUUAGCAAUGGAAUUGGAGCACAUCCGCAAAACAUCCCCUUCCUGCUCUCCACUUUAGGUAGGGACACCUUGCGACACAUGUUUUUGUGGCAUUAUUUAGCCCCAUGAGUGACCACACACACACACGCAAACACACACGCACAAAUGCGUAUUCAUCGGUGGCUUGUAUUGCAACAAGUCACGCGUGUUGCUCAUCAAUGGCUGGCCGGCCGGGGCAGAAGUAUGCGGGGAACAUAUGGGUUACCUGAGCCUCGCUUGAGUCACCGGCUUCCAGUACGCUCGGCAGAGACAUUUGAAAACAACACCUCCAACAACAACAACAUCAGCGGCGGCGGUGGCAGUACAGGGGCACGUGCUGGCUGGACGCGUUCCCGUCCAUCAGCAAGGCCGUCCGUCGCUCGCUUUGACUCCAAAACAUCGGCUCGGCUUUGUUUGUCUGUCAGGCGCUGGGAUUUCCCUGGCACAAAAUAAAGGCACCGUGAGGUCACCCAGUGAUGUAACCAUGGCGGGAUGAGGACGAAAGUUAGGACUGAUGAUUACUACUGCUGUACUGAGAACCUAAACGAGGAGCUGUGUCUCCAAUUUGCCAAAUUCUUUGCAAUCACUUUGGACAUGAACAAGAGGACAUCGUCCAAGAUAAAACCAGGGCCCGAGAACAGAGAGCGUGUCUAUUUAAAAGGACGGACGGGGAGGAGAUUCCACGUCUUAGCCAAAGUGUCCGGGACCAGAAGGCAGCGUCCAAUGAACUGGAGUGACCCCAGCAGGGCUGGCUGCCAUCAGGCCUGAUGUCAUGACACAACGUUGCACGCACACUCCGAACUCACUCUGGGAGUGAGUGAGUGUGUGUGUGCGUGCGUG